rnacentral:rRNA from 1 species
CGUGUAGGCGGUUGAGUAAGUCAGAUGUGAAGCCUUCCGCUUAACGGAAGAAGUGCAUUUGAAACUGCUCGGCUGGAGUACGGGAGAGGAGAGUGGAAUUCCCGGUGUAGAGGUGAAAUUCGUAGAUAUCGGGAGGAACACCAGUGGCGAAGGCGGCUCUCUGGUCCGAUACUGACGCUGAGACGCGAAAGCGUGGGGAGCAAACAGGAUUAGAUACCCUGGUAGUCCACGCCGUAAACGAUGGGCACUAGGUGUAGGAGGUAUUGACCCCUUCUGUGCCGAAGCUAACGCAUUAAGUGCCCCGCCUGGGGAGUACGGCCGCAAGGCUAAA